UUGACCUCAAAUCAGGUGGGAUUACCCGCUGAACUUAA
rnacentral:rRNA from 1 species